AUGCGACUUUACAACCUCCAGGGAGAACUAGUGCAGUCAAUCCAUUCCAAGUCAGGAGAAAAUCCAUGGGACAUAGCAGUGACACGGACUGGGGAUCUUGUUUAUACUGAUGACAAAGAUAGAAGUGUGAACAUACUUAAGAAAAAAAAGAUAAAGAAAUUGAUUAGAAUAAGGGAUUGGAUUCCUCGCAAUGUAUGUAGUGCCUCAUCUGGUGACUUCUUAGUUGUUAUGACCAGUGAUGAUGAAAAACAAACAAAAGUUGUGCGUUAUUCCGACGCCACAGAAAAACAAAGUAUUCAGUUUGAUGACAAAGGACGACCUCUCUAUUCACCUGAUUGCAUUAAAUACAUCAGUGAGAACAGAAAUCUAGAUAUUUGUCUGUCAGAUUAUGGGGGUCAUGCAGUAGUUGUAGUAAAUCAGGCCGGGAAAUUCCGGUUUACCUACACUGGUCCUCCCUCUACUAAGAAACAAUCAUUUGAUCCACUCGGCAUAGCUACAGACAGCCAGGGACUGAUACUUAUUGCAAAUAUUAACACCAGCUGUAUCCAUGUCGUGGAUCAGGACGGACAGUUUCUCCGUUACAUUAAGAAUUGUGCUUUACAGAAUCCACGAGGUUUUAGUGUGGACACCAGCGACAACCUCUUCGUGGUUGAGUACUAUUCUUAUCAAUUGAAGAAAAUAAAAUAUUAUAUUUAGAACAUAAUAUGCCGCUUCGACUUUCUUUGUAUGUAUUGCUUAUUGACAAACUGAAAUUGUAUGUAUAGUAUACAUAUAUGUGUAUAGAAAAUGAUUACCUGUAUUUUGAAACAAUAUUAUUCACAUAAGAUAUACCUUCAUUAAAUUAUUCUUUCAAGU
rnacentral:misc_RNA from 1 species